rnacentral:lncRNA from 1 species
UAUACAUCUACAAUUAAGAGAAAAUAAAAAGAAUUAAAUUAAUAAUUUUGUUCUUUUUCAUUUCAUUGCCCAAAAUUUAUAGAACAAAGCCAUAAUUUCAAGGUAUAUAAAAUUACAAAACGAAAACUAAAUAAAAAAAAUACAAUUAUGGAUAGGAAACAUAAUCUUAAAUGAUAACUUAUGGAAGUAUAUUAUUUAUAUAUAUUUUUUAUUUCAAGAAAUAAUUCUUCCUUGCAACUAUGACUUUUGACGAAUCUCUAGAAACACUCUACAAGCUUUAUUAAUGCACUUAUAAACGAUUUGCAACAUGAGAGGGAGAACCCUUAUGUUUGGACAAUCUUUGUCUGUUUCACAUGCAAGAACCUCUGCAGUGAAAAGUAGAGUAAAAAAUAUUAGUAAACACAAUUAAAUAUUUUUCUUUUUUUAAAUUUUAGUCGGUGUUUUUAUUUUUAUUUUUAAUCCGACAAGAAUAUCCCUAAUACUCGUUUAAUACAAUCCUAGCUUAAACAAAACUACAAAAUAAAAAGGAAAUAACCAAAGGGUGAAAAUAAUUUACUGAUAGCCUCGGUUGAAAAAAGAAAUAUGGAAAGAAAUAAAAUUAUAAUAUAAAUAAAUUUGAGAAUUUUAGCCAUCUUUUUUCUCUUUUUAUUUUACUAAUAAAAAGAGAUUUUAUCAACUUAUAAUGUGUAAAUAUAACACAAUACUUAAAACAUUUAAAUAUUGGUAGCACUAAAUUACAUAAUAUAUUUUAAUUGCCCCUUUUAUACACAUAAUAAAUUUCUCUUGUGCAUAUUUUGUGAAGGGGUAACAUACAAAUAAUUUAUAAUCUUUAAGUAAAUUUUCAUCAUUUGGUAAUAGAGAGGGACAUGUUUGAAAAUUGUUAAACUAUGUUCAAAUUAUCCAUAUCAAUAAUGAACGGUUGAGGAGACAAUAUUUUAUUUAUAAGUUCGAAAUAUUGUAUGAUUUCUUUAUAUAAAAUUAUUUGAUCAUAAGGAUAGGAAUCAUAUUUUGUAUUAUAGUGUAAUUUUUACAACCAUUACAAAGGGAAUUACUUUCCAUAGACCGAAAGUGAACAAAUUGAAAAUUUGAAUGUAUCCUUCCAUAUACAAAGAGGUAAAUUUGGACAAACC